UGCAGUGACAGAGUGUCUGUAAAAUGUUCCUGAGCCCUUACAGUGUCUUUUUAACGCAGUGUCACCUGAGGGCCUGAAGAUACUGACUGUUGGCCUUGCAAACAGAGAAAGGACUCUGGACGAGAACACAUCCACAUUCAAUGCAGGAGAGCCACAAAUGCAUAUCCCUCAGGUCUGUGCAGCA
rnacentral:lncRNA from 1 species